CCGCGGGGCACGGCGGGAGCGCGGCCUCCGUCCCGGUUCCUUCCGGCCCGUUUCCGAGUUGCUGCGGGCGCCGGGGUGCUCCGGGGCUGUGCGGGUCCGCCGCAUUCUUACGGCCUCUCGGCUGCGAGCCGCUAACGGUGCGCAGCGCCCGAAGGACAAAUAAUCUGUUCUUUGCCCUCAAUGUUACUUUCUUAACAAAGAUCGCGCUGGCACGCGCUCUUUUCAGUUCAUUUGCGGAGCAGUCGGAGGUCCCGCAGGAACAUCCACGCUGUUUCUCACACGAUGAGAGGCCAGCCUUCCGUAGAGAUGAGAAAAGCAAACCUCAGGGGACAGGCAGGCCCCGACCGUGCCAGCUGACAGUGGUGACAGGGUCCCCGACACGGCCGAGAUCUCAUCAGGGAAGUAAAAAUCCCUGUGAAUAUGCAGCAGCUACAAGUCUCUCYUUCAACCUCCAAUGGUCUGAGUGUUUGGACACAUUGACAAACCCACACUGGAAAGGACAGAGGAAACUGCUUAUCCGAUGGAUUUUGAAGACUUUCGAGAAUUGUCUGUUGGUCGUGAGCCUGUGCCAGAGACUCUGAACCUGUCAUCACCGGGCAGCCUCUUCCCAGAGCCCUAAAGGUGUUGCUUGCUUGGACAAACAGAAUGUGAAAAAACAUCCUAUGCCGACACGUGUGCCUAGAUUGGAUGUAAACAAAUUCAGAAACGAUGAAGAAUUGUGUUUAACAUAGGCAUUUGCAGUGUCAUUUUGAAAAAGCUCUCGGAAUUAUUUCGGGGUAUUUCCACAUCCAAGUUGUUAUUUCAAAUGUUGUCAGUUAUUCAGUAACUAUAUUAAGUGUCGUUUAAAAAUACAAGCUUACCACCGGCCUAAGCAUGGAAACAUUUUUAAAGGGAACACUUUACAAAUGUAUUUUUCAACACAAGGCCCUUUGUUGAAGAUCAUCCAGAAGCAAUGAUGUCCAKUUGAAUAGGUGUUCCCGCUUUCCUUUCUUUCCCGGUGCUGUGGUACGGGGACAAAGGGAAUUGCAGUCGCUGGUGGGGAAGUGCUCCAUGCCAGCCUCCCCUGCUUCCAAACCUGUUUUCCCUGUUUUCCUGGGGGAUACACAAACACCAGAGCAAAAGCAUUUCUCCCGAAGGAAUGACAUUGCCUGCAGGUAGAAGCUGUUAGACACAACACAAGCCUUUCUAACAUGUUUCUGCCUCGCUUAAAAAGCAAAAAAAAUCUAUUAUUUUGAACUAGAAACCUUUCUAGCCUGUUUAAUCUGCCAAGCUUGGCUUUGGUGGGGUGCAGGCAGUGCAGCCUCACCUGUUGGGUGGCUGCAGUGACCCGUCUCCCACAGCUGCUCAGGCACCGGUGCCUGGGUACACCUUGAGGUGCCAAGGAUGCUGGCCAAAUUGUGGGCAGUCAUUGAGCGCUAGAAGUGCCUCUUUCUCUCCCAAAGCUCAAAUCCUCACAGCCAUUUCCCAAUGCAGUAAUUUCUCAUCUCGGUUUAGUUUCGAACAACGGGGGGCGGUUUAGGUUUGGGUCGGGGUUUUGAGGUCGUUCGGUCGGUAGGUGGGUCGGUUGGUUGGUCUCGGUGGGUCUUUUUUUUUUUUUUUUUUUUUUUUUUUUUUUCUGCUAAGCCCUCAUUAACUCCCCUCACGCUGUCUUACUCUGUUUGCCAGUGCUUAAGUAGUGCUUUUUUAAAAAAGCAACCAAUUAGCACCUCAUCGGCUUCAAUUAGAGGAGACAAAAGCAGUGUAAAGAUAACUCAAUGAGAGGGGGUGGCACAACAUCAUGUAAUCACUUAAGACAGCGUCGAGCAUUCACUGUGCUGGCUCUGCCGGGCCUAUUCACCUUUUUUUUUUUU